rnacentral:rRNA from 1 species
CCGGCGCACGGGUGCGUAACACGUAUGCAACCUACCUUUAACUGGGGUAUAGCUCAGAGAAAUCUGAAUUAAUCCCCCAUAAGACUACGACAUGGCAUCAUGAUGUAGUUAAAGCUCCGGCGGUUAAGGAUGGGCAUGCGGUACAUUAGCUAGUUGGUGAGGUAAUGGCUCACCAAGGCUACGAUGUAUAGGGGGUCUGAGAGGAUGAUCCCCCACACUGGUACUGAGACACGGACCAGACUCCUACGGGAGGCAGCAGUAGGGAAUAUUGGUCAAUGGACGCAAGUCUGAACCAGCCAUGCCGCGUGAAGGAUGAAGGCCCUAUGGGUCGUAAACUUCUUUUAUUAGGGAAGAAAAAAUGGGAUGCGUCCUAUACUGACGGUACUUAAUGAAUAAGGAUCGGCUAACUUCGUGCCAGCAGCCGCGGUAAGACGAAGGAUCCAAGCGUUGUCCG